AAAUGAAAUAUCUGUCUUCGACAGAUGUGAAAUGUGCUUCGCACGUGAAAUAUUUGACUUCGUCAAAUGUGAAAUAUUCU
rnacentral:sRNA from 1 species